GUAAGUGGUCAUCCCCGUUGCUCCUAGAGAAAUAGAAAUGGGAAUUGAAGUCCCUAAAGGCAUCACCAUCUCUUCCUUUUCUUCAAAUCUCAGGCAACAUCAACUCAAUCCGGCGAAGCCACGAUUUCAGCGGCGGUUUGCGGUGGUUCUUGACUGAGAACGCUUCCAACAGCAUGGGAUCCUCAUCCCGGCGCAGUGUACCAAAAGGGAAUCAAAUCCCUAAAUUAUCUCCUUCAUCCUCUUCUCUUCCGGCAGCGGCGGCAAUAAAAGGGACGACGGCAAGUCACUGGUAAUCCGGCAGAUACAUUUCUUCUCCUCUAUCUCGUUUCUCCUUAGCGACGGUGGUGCUCUCUCCGGUGACGGUUUCGGUAGCGACGACAACGCCAGGCAGUAGCGGAGGUUGUGACGAAAGGCAGCGGCGACGACUAGGAAAGCCAUUAAUGGCGAUGAUGGCGAGUUAUCUUUCUUCAAUUAUGUUAUGCGACCCUUGAUGAUGAUAUGCGGUGAUUUCCAACCUGAAUUGAAUCUAAACCGUGAAGGUGGAAGGAAGUUACCCCAAUCGAACUCGCUCAGAAAGAACCACCAAUUGCAAUGGUAGUUCGAAAGGUUCUCAAAGUAUGGGAAUUCUUCUAAUGCAUAUUCUGUGAGGUAGCUAAAGGAACAGUCUCUCAUGUCAAAAGCUUGUGUUUAUAAGGUUGAGCCAUAAUGGCACCAGGUGAAGAGUGUGACAAAGUGUUCACAGCAAUGUGCCAAGGCAAAAUUAUUGAUCCUAUUCUGGAAUGCCUUAAUGAGUGGAAUGGUGCUCCUCUUCCAAUUUCUUAGACAAUUACUUUGAGAAGUGGUUUCUUAAUAACUCUGUAUUUGUAUUGAUAUAAGCAUUUGAUUUGCCUCUUACGCUAAGGCUAAUCAUUCUAGAGAGCUUUGUUUCAGUUUCCUUCAAGUCAUGAAACUUUUAUUUGUUGUAAUAGAAUCUCAUUUGGUGCUUGAAACUUGCAACAUGUGCAUGCACAAGGACUA